GAAUGCGGGUAGUCGCUGCCGCGGCCGUUUUCGGUCGGCGGUAGAGGAAAGUCCAGGCUCGCCCAGGCUGAGAUGCCUGGAGUGUUCGUACCUGGUGCAAACCAGGGCAGUGAGGCUUCGGCUUCGCUGACGGCGCGGAAAGGGUUCUCCCUGAGACCCGAGUACGCUGAAAGUGCCACAGAAACGGAGCUUCCCUGGCGACAGGGGAGAUGGAACGCGGUAAACCCUGCGAGCGAGAAACCCAAAUUUGGUAGGGGAACCGUCCCGAAGGAAAUGAACGGAGGGACGGAUGGCGGCCUCGGCUGCCAUAGAUAGAUGACUACCGCUCUUGGUGCGAGGGGAACAGCCCCGCUUGCAGCACGGGAGACACAGAACCUGGCUUACAGCA
rfam:Bacillus sp. WF146 contig008, whole genome shotgun sequence.